rnacentral:rRNA from 1 species
GACGAACGCUGGCGGCGUGCUUAACACAUGCAAGUCGAGCGGUAAGGCCCUUUCGGGGGUACACGAGCGGCGAACGGGUGAGUAACACGUGAGUAAUCUGCCCUUCACUUUGGGAUAAGCCUCGGAAACGGGGUCUAAUACCGGAUAUGAGCACUUCACGCAUGUGGGGUGUUGGAAAGUUUUUCGGUGGGGGAUGUGCUCGCGGCCUAUCAGCUUGUUGGUGGGGUAAUGGCCUACCAAGGCUUCGACGGGUAGCCGGCCUGAGAGGGUGACCGGCCACACUGGGACUGAGACACGGCCCAGACUCCUACGGGAGGCAGCAGUGGGGAAUAUUGGACAAUGGGCGGAAGCCUGAUCCAGCAACGCCGCGUGAGGGAUGACGGCCUUCGGGUUGUAAACCUCUUUCAGUAGGAACGAAGCGCAAGUGACGGUACCUACAGAAGAAGCACCGGCCAACUACGUGCCAGCAGCCGCCGUAAAAC